rnacentral:rRNA from 1 species
UACGGAGGGAGCUAGCGUUGUUCGGAAUUACUGGGCGUAAAGCGCACGUAGGCGGCUUUGUAAGUUAGAGGUGAAAGCCCGGGGCUCAACUCCGGAACUGCCUUUAAGACUGCAUCGCUUGAAUCCAGGAGAGGUGAGUGGAAUUCCGAGUGUAGGAGGUGAAAUUCGUAGAUAUUCGGAAGGAACACCAGUGGCGAAGGCGGCUACACUG